rnacentral:rRNA from 1 species
UACAGAGGUCCCAAGCGUUGUUCGGAUUCACUGGGCGUAAAGGGUGCGUAGGCGGCCGGGCAAGUUUGAUGUGAAAGCUCGGAGCUUAACUCCGAAAUGGCAUUGGAUACUAUUCGGCUGGAGGGUCGGAGGGGAGACUGGAAUUCUCGGUGUAGCAGUGAAAUGCGUAGAUAUCGAGAGGAACACCAGUGGCGAAGGCGAGUCUCUGGACGACAUCUGACACUGAGGCACGAAAGCUAGGGGAGCAAACAGG